CUCACGUUUUGCCCUUGGGUCUUGUGACUAGUUGUAUGUAAUCGCUCCUGUUUGAUUGCCUUCAUUGAGUGGACAACUGCUACAAUUACAGCCAAUUAACAAUGUGCACAGGAGUUGCUUGCGCUGCAGAAAGAUCAGCGGAGCAUUCGUUUGUGGGUGGUGCUAAACCGUGAAAGAACUCGUAUUAAAAUGUGGAGUGGAUCACAA